GUUAUAGGGUCAAGCGAACAAGUGCAUGUGGUGGAUGCCUUGGCGAUCACAGGCGAUGAAGGACGCGGUAGCCUGCGAAAAGCCCCGGGGAGCUGGCAAACAAGCUUUGAUCCGGGGAUGUCCGAAUGGGGAAACCCACUCCGUAUGGAGUAUCCAUGACUGAAUACAUAGGUCAUGCGAAGCGAACGCGGUGAACUGAAACAUCUAAGUAACCGCAGGAAAAGAAAUCAACCGAGAUUCCCAAAGUAGUGGCGAGCGAAAUGGGAUGAGCCUUGUACUCUUUAUUUGUAUUGUUAGCCGAACGCUCUGGAAAGUGCGGCCAUAGCAGGUGAUAGCCCUGUAGGCGAAAACAGUAUGAAAGAACUAGGUGUACGACAAGUAGGGCGGGACACGUGAAAUCCU
rnacentral:rRNA from 1 species